rnacentral:misc_RNA from 1 species
CUUUUACUAUCUGUCUGGCCUCUGGCCAAAUUAUAGUAGCGCUGCCCUAACCAAAUCCUAUUGACUCUACACAACGAACCGACUAGUCGAUGUCGAUCCCACCAUCUUCAACCUCAACUCCUUCAGCCUCUUCAGGUUCGCAAUUCACAUACACCACAGCAACGGCGACGCCAAACUCUUCGUAUUUCCCAAUGCCCUUUCACCUCCAGCAAUCGGUCCAACCCUACGUCGCUCCGCCCGCAGUUCAACCCGUCGUCACUCCUGUUUACACCGCUCCAGUUGGAGCCGUCUACUCUCUUCCUCAGUUCCAGCAGGCACAACAGUUAUUUCAAAGGGAUGCACAAACUAUUACACCUGAAGCGCUUGAGGGUGUAAAAGCAGCCCUUGCUAGCAGUGAGAUUGAGCACAAACAAGAAAACAAAAAGAAAGCAAUUCCUCGAAAAGCUGCUGGCCAGUCUUGGGAGGAUCCAACGCUUGCAGAGUGGCCUGAAAAUGAUUAUCGACUUUUUUGUGGUGACCUUGGUAAUGAGGUGAAUGAUGAUGUUCUUUCAAAAGCAUUUUCCCGCUUUCCUUCAUUUAACAUGGCUAGAGUUGUUAGAGAUAAGCGGACUGGCAAAACCAAGGGCUAUGGAUUUGUUAGCUUUUCCAACCCUACGGACCUUGCAGCAGCACUGAAGGAGAUGAAUGGUAAAUAUGUUGGAAAUAGGCCCAUUAAAUUACGCAAGAGCAAUUGGAAGGAAAGGACAGAUUACGAGGCACUUGAAAGACAAAAGAACCAACAUCAGAAGAAAC